GACCUGGUGGUGAAUGGUUUCACCCACUUUCCUCACGUACUCGUCAACGAAUGGAUGGAGGAGUUCCCGGUUCAACCCCGGGCCAGGUUA